rnacentral:rRNA from 1 species
UACGUAGGCAGCAAGCGUUGUUCGGAGUUACUGGGCGUAAAGAGUGCGUAGGCGGUGCUCUAAGUUUGGUGUGAAAUCUCCCGCUUAACUGGGAGGGUGCGCCGAAAACUGGAGUGCUUGAGUAUGGGAGAGGCAAGCGGAAUUCCCGGUGUAGCGGUGAAAUGCGCAGAUAUCGGGAAGAACACCCGUGGCUAAGGCGGCUCUCUAGUACGGUACUGACGCUGAGACGCGAAAGCGUGGGGAGCGAACAGG